AGAGUUUGAUCCUGGCUCAGGACGAACGCUGGCGGCGUGCCUAAUACAUGCAAGUCGAACGCUUCUUUUCUACCGAGUGCUUGCACUCACUUGAAAAGAGGAGUGGCGGACGGGUGAGUAACACGCGGGUAACCUACCCAUCAGAGGGGGAUAACACUUGGAAACAGGUGCUAAUACCGCAUAAUAGUCGACAUCGCAUGGUGUUGAUUUGAAAGACGCUUUCGGGUGUCACUGAUGGAUGGACCCGCGGUGCAUUAGCUAGUUGGUGAGGUAACGGCUCACCAAGGCCAUGAUGCAUAGCCGACCUGAGAGGGUGAUCGGCCACACUGGGACUGAGACACGGCCCAGACUCCUACGGGAGGCAGCAGUAGGGAAUCUUCGGCAAUGGACGAAAGUCUGACCGAGCAACGCCGCGUGAGUGAAGAAGGUUUUCGGAUCGUAAAACUCUGUUGUUAGAGAAGAACAAGUAGGAGAGUAGCUGCUCUUACCUUGACGGUAUCUAACCAGAAAGCCACGGCUAACUACGUGCCAGCAGCCGCGGUAAUACGUAGGUGGCAAGCGUUGUCCGGAUUUAUUGGGCGUAAAGCGAGCGCAGGCGGUUUCUUAAGUCUGAUGUGAAAGCCCCCGGCUCAACCGGGGAGGGUCAUUGGAAACUGGGAGACUUGAGUGCAGAAGAGGAGAGUGGAAUUCCAUGUGUAGCGGUGAAAUGCGUAGAUAUAUGGAGGAACACCAGUGGCGACGCGACUCUCUGGUCUGUAACUGACGCUGAUGCUCGAAGCGUGGGGAGCAAACAGGAUUAGAUACCCUGCUAGUCCACGUCCGUAAACGAUGAGUGCUAAGUG
rnacentral:rRNA from 1 species